CACGUAGGGGGCGAGCGUUGUUCGGAGUUACUGGGCGUAAAGAGUGCGUAGGCGGUUUUCUAAGUUUGGUGUGAAAUCUCCCGGCUUAACUGGGAGGGUGCGCCGAAGACUGGAAGGCUUGAGUAUGGGAGAGGUAAGCGGAAUUCCUGGUGUAGCGGUGAAAUGCGUAGAUAUCAGGAGGAACACCUGCGGUGUAGACGGCUUACUGGACCAUAACUGACGCUGAGGCACGAAAGCGUGGGUAGCAAACAGG
rnacentral:rRNA from 1 species